UAGACUUUGUCCACUGCUCAGUCUCUGGG
rnacentral:piRNA from 1 species